rnacentral:rRNA from 1 species
UGGGGAAUUUUGGACAAUGGGCGCAAGCCUGAUCCAGCCAUGCCGCGUGCGGGAAGAAGGCCUUCGGGUUGUAAACCGCUUUUGUCAGGGAAGAAAUCUUCUGAGUUAAUACCUCGGGAGGAUGACGGUACCUGAAGAAUAAGCACCGGCUAACUACGUGCCAGCAGCCGCGGUAAUACGUAGGGUGCAAGCGUUAAUCGGAAUUACUGGGCGUAAAGCGUGCGAGGCGGUUUUGUAAGACAGAGGUGAAAUCCCCGGGCUCAACCUGGGAACUGCCUUUGUGACUGCAAGGCUUGAGUGCGGCAGAGGGGGGAUGGAAUUCCGCGUGUAGCAGUGAAAUGCGUAGAUAUGCGGAGGAACACCGAUGGCGAAGGCAAUCCCCUGGGCCUGCACUGACGCUCAUGCACGAAAGCGUGGGGAGCAAAACAGGAUUAGAUACCCUGGUAGUCCACGCCCUAAAACGAUGUC